GUGUCAGCCGCCGCGGUAAUACGUAGGGUGCAAGCGUUAAUCGGAAUUACUGGGCGUAAAGCGUGCGCAGGCGGUGCUGUAAGACAGGCGUGAAAUCCCCGGGCUUAACCUGGGAAUGGCGCUUGUGACUGCAGUGCUGGAGUGCGGCAGAGGGGGAUGGAAUUCCGCGUGUAGCAGUGAAAUGCGUAGAUAUGCGGAGGAACACCGAUGGCGAAGGCAAUCCCCUGGGCCUGCACUGACGCUCAUGCACGAAAGCGUGGGGAGCAAACAGGAUUAGAAACCCCCGUAGUCC
rnacentral:rRNA from 1 species